rnacentral:lncRNA from 1 species
CAAAAUAGCAGACUGGUUACAGAAGCAGUGGUGUAGUGAUUAUUGUCACCAGUAGGAGACGCUGCGAGAUACAUGAGUGCCCCGUCGCUACUUCAGCAAUGAAGAACUGAACAUGUGCAAGAAAAAAACCAUGAAGUUGUUUUCGUCAGUCUUCAGAAGAGAUUUAAAGAAAUCUGGUCUUCUGGUCAACGUAAAAGCCAUUUUCAGUGUCCUGCUGAGGAGAGAAAGCGUUGAUGGCCUAAGGGUCAGCACUUACAGAUGGUUUUGCCUCCAGACAGUUUGAAGCUCAGACAAUGAUGAUGAUGGUGGUGAUGAAACCAUGGUUAAAAAGAUGUGGAGAGGCACAGAAUCAGGCCCUGCCGGCUGAACGGAGAGCGGUAUAAUUAACGCCAGUGAGGAGGUUCAGCCUGUCUCAAUCAGCUCAGUCAGGCAAGGCAAAUUAAUAUUCAAGCAUUGACGCUCAUUCGCUCUGAGACAAUGUCUCUCGUUUACAUAACCCCUCCGCAUGGGCGAGGAUGCAAGAAGUGAUCGGACACAACCAUCAAUUUUAUUUAAUUCUGACAUUCUGGUUAAUGUUUACAUUUCCAAACUGACUUGUGUGCAAUUAUAUUAGGUCUGAGUGUGGCUGAUGUAGAGGCGCAAAUGAAUUGAUGCUGAAUUGUUUGCCUGGAUGCAGGUUAUUAGUUUCCAUGUCUUGUAAUAGACCUCGGUUCUUUUUUAUUGUUUAUGCAGGUACACCAUAUUAAUGAGAGCGCAAAUACACACUAGGCUGUCUGGGAAUGCAUUUGAUAAACUGUUUAGGCCUUACUUGGCAACGCUUGACUGACUGAACAGCAUACAUUGCGAUUGCUUGAAGUUCAAGAAAAACAAAAGCAAGCUGAAGUUUAGCGGAUGGAAUAAUUUAAGUGUGUUUUGUACUGUGUGUGUGACAGCUAUUUAUUUCAAAAUAUGGUCAGUGUAUUGUAUACUCAUUUUAAGGUUACUAAGACAUCUGUGAUGGCAGUCCAGACAACAUAGCAUUCAUUGCAAUCCAACAUGGCUGUCUGCCAUCUGGCCGUGAACACACUCAAACAUUUUUGUUACUGCUCAAGGUCUUGCCUGCAAGGUUCCCAUUGUGCAGUAUCAAAGGUAAAUCUGGAUGCCACAGGAAAAUACACCUGCUUGUGAAGUUCUUCAACUUUGUCUACUGUAUUACAGAGCUUUUUGAAUUAAAUGGCAACUUUAUCAUGUAAAAAUGUGUUUUAAUUUUGUACCAAUUCAAAUAUUUAAGCCUAUUUGACACAAUGACACUACGAGCCAACCAUAAGCUACUUCUCUGUCAGCUUUAGC